AGUGAACGCUGGCGGUAGGCCUAACACAUGCAAGUCGAACGGCAGCACAGUAAGAGCUUGCUCUUACGGGUGGCGAGUGGCGGACGUGUGAGGAAUACAUCGUAAUCUACUUUUUCGUGGGGGAUAACGUAGGUAGACUUACUCUAAUACCGCAUACGACCUACGGGUGAAAGCAGGGGAUCUUCGGACCUUGCGCGAUUGAAUGAGCCGAUGUCGGAUUAGCUAGUUGGCGGGGUAAAGGCCCACCAAGGCGACGAUCCGUAGCUGGUCUGAGAGGAUGAUAAGCCACACUGGAACUGAGACACGGUCAAGACACCUACGGGAGGGAGCAGUGGGGAAUAUGGGACAAUGGGCGCAAGCAUGAUACAGCCAUACCGCGUGGGUGAAGAAGGCGUUCGGGUUGUAAAGACCUUUUGUUGGGAAAGAAAAGCAGCAGGUUAAUACCACGCUGUUCUGACGGUACCGAAAGAAGAAGCACCGGCUAACUUCGUG
rnacentral:rRNA from 1 species